GGGCCCGCACAAGCGGUGGAGCAUGUGGCUUAAUUCGAUGCAACGCGAGGAACCUUACCUGGGCUAAAAUCCACAGUGAUGUCUUCUGGAAACAGGAGGUCCCUUAGGGGCACUAUGGAAGGUGCUGCAUGGCUGUCGUCAGCUCGUGCCGUGAGGUGUUGGUUAAGUCCCGCAACGAGCGCAACCCCUGUGGUUAGUUACCAGCACGUAAAGGUGGGGACUCUAGCCAGACUGCCUACGCAAGUAGUGAGGAAGGUGGGGACGACGUCAAGUCAUCAUGGCCCUUACGUCCAGGGCUGCACACGUGCUACAAUGUCGGUCAAUGGGUUCGCCACCCCAGCGAUGGGGGCG
rnacentral:rRNA from 1 species